rnacentral:rRNA from 1 species
CGCAAGCCUGACGGAGCAAUACCGCGUGAGGGAGGAAGGCUUUUGGGUUGUAAACCUCUUUUCUCAAGGAAGAAAAAAAUGACGGUACUUGAGGAAUCAGCAUCGGCUAACUCCGUGCCAGCAGCCGCGGUAAUACGGAGGAUGCAAGCGUUAUUCGGAAUUAUUGGGCGUAAAGCGUCCGCAGGUGGUGUUUCAAGUCUGCUGUCAAAGACCGAAGCUUAACUUCGGGUAGGCGGUGGAAACUGAAACACUAGAGUACGGUAGGGGUAGAGGGAAUUUCCAGUGUAGCGGUGAAAUGCGUAGAGAUUGGAAAGAACACCAGUGGCGAAGGCGCUCUACUGGACCGUAACUGACACUCAGGGACGAAAGCUAGGGUAGCG